CACGGUGAAUGCCUUGGCACUAGGAGCCGAUGAAGGACGGGACUAACACCGAUAUGCUUCGGGGAGCUGUAAGCGAGCUUUGAUCCGGAGAUUUCCGAAUGGGGGAACCCACUGCCCGUAAUGGGGUAGUAUCCUUACUUGAAUACAUAGAGUAAGGAAGGCAGACCCGGGGAACUGAAACAUCUAAGUACCCGGAGGAAGAGAAAGCAAUUGCGAUUUCCUGAGUAGCGGCGAGCGAAACGGAAGAAGCCCAAACCAAGAGGCUUGCCUCUUGGGGUUGUAGGACACUCUAUACGGAGUUACAAAGGAACGGAGUAAAUGAAGAGGUCUGGAAAGGCCCGUCAAAGAAGGUAACAACCCUGUAGUUGAAACUUCGUUCCCUCCAGAGUGGAUCCUGAGUACGGCGGGACACGUGAAAUCCCGUCGGAAGCAGGGAGGACCAUCUCCCAAGGCUAAAUACUCCCUAGUGACCGAUAGUGAACCAGUACCGUGAGGGAAAGGUGAAAAGCACCCCGGGAGGGGAGUGAAAGAGAACCUGAAACCGUGUGCCUACAAGUAGUUAGAGCUCUAUGCUUUAUGCAGAGUGAUAGCGUGCCUUUUGUAGAAUGAACCGGCGAGUUACGAUUUCAUGCAAGGUUAAGCUGAAGAGGCGGAGCCGCAGCGAAAGCGAGUCUGAAUAGGGCGAUAGAGUAUGAGGUCGUAGACCCGAAACCAGGUGAUCUACCCAUGUCCAGGGUGAAGGUAAGGUAACACUUACUGGAGGCCCGAACCCACGCACGUUGAAAAGUGCGGGGAUGAGGUGUGGGUAGCGGAGAAAUUCCAAUCGAACUUGGAGAUAGCUGGUUCUCUCCGAAAUAGCUUUAGGGCUAGCCUUAAGGUAAGAGUCUUGGAGGUAGAGCACUGUUUGGACUAGGGGCCCUCAUCGGGUUACCGAAUUCAGACAAACUCCGAAUGCCAAUGACUUAUCCUUAGGAGUCAGACUGCGAGUGAUAAGAUCCGUAGUCAAGAGGGAAACAGCCCAGACCACCAGCUAAGGUCCCAAAGUAUACGUUAAGUGGAAAAGGAUGUGGAGUUGCUUAGACAACCAGGAUGUUGGCUUAGAAGCAGCCACCAUUUAAAGAGUGCGUAAUAGCUCACUGGUCGAGUGACUCUGCGCCGAAAAUGUACCGG
rnacentral:rRNA from 1 species